rfam:Ictidomys tridecemlineatus contig096132, whole genome shotgun sequence.
GUGGUUGUGGCUUAGCGGUAGUGCACUUGCCUGGCAUGUGUGAGGCACUGGGUUCAAUUCUCAGCACCACA